AAGACCUUGCGCUUUUGGAGCGGCCGAUGUCUGAUUAGCUUGUUGGUGAGGUAAAAGCUUACCAAGGCUUCGAUCAGUAGCUGGUCUGAGAGGACGACCAGCCACACUGGGACUGAGACACGGCCCAGACUCCUACGGGAGGCAGCAGUGGGGAAUUUUGGACAAUGGGGGCAACCCUGAUCCAGCCAUGCCGCGUGAGUGAAGAAGGCCUUCGGGUUGUAAAGCUCUUUCAGCCGGAACGAAACGGUUACGGUUAAUAUCCGUGAUUACUGACGGUACCGGAAGAAGAAGCACCGGCUAACUACGUGCCAGCAGCCGCGGUAAUACGUAGGGUGCAAGCGUUAAUCGGAAUUACUGGGCGUAAAGCGUGCGCAGGUGGUUUUGUAAGUCAGAUGUGAAAUCCCCGGGCUUAACCUGGGAACU
rnacentral:rRNA from 1 species